GGAUUGUGGCCCAGGGGUAGAGUACUCGCCUAGCACGUUCGAGACCCUGAGUUCGAUCCUUAGCACCA
rnacentral:tRNA from 1 species